GUGAAGGAGGGAGGCAGGAAGAGAGAAGGAAGCAAGGGGAGCGGCAGGCCGCCGACGGCCUCCCCCCGCCCGGCCCCAGGCCCACCUCAGCAGCGUCUCGAGCGCGCUCUCGUGCUUGUCCAGCGGGCGGCCGAGCGCGGCGCGGCGCAGCUUGCUGAGCUCCUCCGCCGCGCGGCAGUACUGGGCCUGCUCCUCCCCGCCGCUCGGGUACGUCUGCUGGAUGAACUUCACCAGCGGCUUGGCCAGGUCCACCUCCGAGGUCUUCUUCAGCUGCACUGAGACGAACGUCGCCAUGGCGAGCGCCUCGGCCGCCCUUCGGGCCAAAGACCGCGGGACGACGACGAAGGCCGAGGCGCGCGGGGUACCGUACAGGCGGACUGACGGGCUGACAGAGGUCCGCUCGGCCUGCGCUUCGGGUCUGGCCACUUCCGGGAGCUAUGGCGCAGGCGCAGUCGGCGCGCCGCCUCCGGUCACGUGAGGGAGACCGGGCGCCGGCGCUGCUCACCUGGGCCCCCACUCUUCCUGCGCCCAGCCUUACGGCGCCGGCUUUCUCCACAGGCGGAAUUUUCUCAUUCCGCCGUACUUCCUCGGCAGGACAAUUGAAGAAAUUUGAACAUAGAUGGACUGAAUAUGAGAUGAAAAUGUAUUGCCAUGGAAAGGUGGAGAUCAUUAACUGAAAAGAGCAAGUCACAAAACAAUGGAGGUCAGCAGAAGUGAGGAAGAUGGUUAUACAACCAGGCACCUACGACAAUGAUGACACAAUUGAUCACUACAGGUUUCCACACUAAGGAGAGACAGAAAGAGGAUAUGGCAGGAAGUCUCCAAAGCACCUGGUAGCUUGGGUCUUGGGGUACAGUAAUCAAGGAAAAUGGUCUUUGGAGGACACCAGGGACAUCACAGUAAGAGAUAAUGCUUGAAAAUAUACAACAACCAGCAUAUCAUUUCUUCCUUAUGAAUGUCUUUCUAGUGGUGAUAUAUGCAUGGUCAGCAUAUUUUCAAGAUUUCAUCAGAAACACCCCCUCUUCCUUUUUACUACCAUAUACUCAUUUGCAGGAAGCUGAGGGGACCCACCCCAAAUCUCAGACCUGCGGAGAUAACAGUUAUUUCAAAGAGCAUCUCAAACUAAAGCCAGUCAGCCUGUGGAGGUACCAGAAAUGAAAUGAUCAAUUUCCCAAAAGCCUCCAUCUUGGGAAUGAUGCUGAUAGCUCUCAUCCAUCCACAAAUGGUGCUUAAUAGAUAUUUUUGGAUGAAUAAAUAGAAGAACGAAUGAAAGUUCCCACAUGUGAAUUGAAGUUUUUAAACUAUUUGAUGGGAGACUGAGUCAACUAAAGAUACGUAAUACGGACUUAUUCAGUGCAGCUGCAUAAUGCCACUUCGUUCAGACCCAAGCUUCCUGCUGCUGUGCCCUCACUGUAUGAUGGAGAUGGACACCUUGGGGAAAAGCACCAAGUUCCUCUGGAAAGCUGAAGAGGCUGGCACGACGCUCUUUCUUUUGAAUUCUAGCCCCCAAACCACGAAGUUUACUAAUAGAUGUAUACUCACUAUGAAAUGGUGUCUCCUAAAUGAUUUAUUAUCUAUUAACUCCAGUAGCAACAAAGAAUAAUUGCUGAACACCUGAAAGAAAGAGCUAUCUUGCUUGUCUCAACCCCUGCUGGCACACAGCAGACACUCAGCAAACGUUGCUUGAAUGAAUAAACGUUAUGCCAACUGUUUUAUCUGUUCUGCCAGUACAGUCUUCGUAACUAGUUAACCAGAAUUUAAACUGGACUAUAAAGCUCUUAAAUCUUUUGAAAGAGAUAAGUGUUGCUUAUGUGAAAAGGAGACAAAAACAUAAACCAAACUAGACAUGUAGAUUUGAUAAGAAGCUUUAAGAACUUUAAGAAGAAGAAUUGAAUUAGCUAAUGACAAGCCACAUUGUAAUUAUGAAUGCAGUUUAUAACCAAAGACAUUAUAAAGUCAGGACAGAGAAGAAGUGGUUCAACCAGUUACAGGAGCUUUGAAGUAAACCAUUUCGACCUGGCCCCAGGUAAAACUAUGAAACUGGUUUGGUCUGUGUGGUCCCCAAACUUCUCUUUCCUUCAACCCUUUUCCAGGCUAACAAUACCUUCAGGUUUUCUCCACUCUCCCACUAGCUUUUUUUUAACAUUACAAGGAAAGUGCAAUGGUGAUAGGUUGAAAUUAGCUCCAAAAAUACCCCUAAUCCAUGUAUUGCAGUGGCCUCAGGGCAAAUUUCCCAGGCUAUAGACAGUGAAGGCAUCACCGAUGAGUUGAAAUAAAAUCCAGUAUUUUUCCUAGAAGAAAGAGCUGGGAUUUCUGGCCUUUAUUUCCUACUUUUUUUCCAGAAGUGUGCUUGUUGAAAGCCCAGCUCCCUCCUCAAGUAGUGCAGUUAGAACUUGACUUGGAUUGGUUAGGGGAGGCAGUGCAGAGAAGGAUAUCCUCUUUUAAAAUAAAUUUAUUUAUUUUGGUUGUGUUGGGUCUUCACUGUUGCGCACGGGCUUUUCUCUAGUUACGGCGAGCAGGGGCUACUCUUCGUUGUGGUGAGCAGGCUUCUCAUUGAGGUGGCUUCUCUUGUUGUGGAGCACGGGCUCUAGGCACGUGGGCUUCAGUAGUUGUGGCUCACGGGCUCUAGAGCUCAGGCUCAGUAGUUGUGGUGCAUGGGCUUAGUUGCUCCGCGGCAUGUGGGAUCUUCCCAGACCAGGGCUUGAACCCGUGUCCCCUGCACUGGCAGGCGGACUGUUAACCACUGCACCACCAGGGAAGCCCUAGCCUUUUAAAAUGUUCAGUGAUUACAAAAGUUCUGGGGUUCAGAGACUAUUCAAUGUGUAAUCAACAGCUCCUAAAAAAACUUUUACUUAGAUAAGAAGAUAAUUCAAUGCAAACAGAAUUGGGUAUUUCUUUGGGCAAUUUAUUUAGAAUCUUUUGUCCUUUCAUGAUUCAACCUGCCCUUUGUAAAACUAUGAGUCACCAUGAUUCUCAUUCUGACCAAUGUUUUUCUGCUUCACUGCUUGGGGGGAAAUGAGUACUGCAUUUUGAAUUCAGCACAUUUUAUCUACUGUAUCUAGUCUUAACUAUUGAAAGAAAUUGUGAAGACUUGAUAAAUUGCUAUGCUACAGCAUGACACAAGAUAGCCUCCUAAUACUGUGCGUAUGGAUUUGGCCUCUGGAACUGCUGCAGCCAUCUUGUGACCAUGAGGAAAGUGAUAAAAGAAACUUUUGCUGAACCUUGAAUAUAUGCAUUCAGACUUGCUUACUGCAUGACCCUGAGCUUGUAAUAUGGCAAAGAAUCAGAGCAACUGCUUCCGCAGAAGAAGGAACCAGAGCAACUCGUUUUCAGAAAACUAGUCAGUCAGUAGAAAAGCGACCUGAUGGGGAAUUUGUGACUGUACUAUCUAGACUCAACAAACUGACCUGGGGCAUAGCAGUCAGCUGUGCCAAGCUCCACUAUCACCAAUCAACUUUGAACUGGCAAUCAAAGUAGUUGUUGAAACCACGUAAUCAUUAUUCUUUGUGAAACUUGUGACUUCUGCCUUUAUAGGUCCCCUCCUUGCCCUUGAUCAGAGACACCAUCUCAGAAGGCUGUAUUCUCUCUUAUAUACCUAUAAAUGAGUAAAUCCCGAAGACUUCACACUAAAUUUGUCUCCAAAGUAUUCUUUGCAGUUUAACACUUACUCUGCCUCGGAAUCUUUGUUUCUUUUGUUGGCAGGUCAAAGCUGAUACACCAAGAAUGGCAAAGCAGGAAGACAGAAAAAACCUGGUUCCUUGAUGAUAUCUGUAUUUUACUAACUAUGGAGCCUUCCUACCUCUGGACUUUUUGUUUUGUGAUAAAAUAA